rnacentral:rRNA from 1 species
GGGGCAACCUUCCANUCAGUGGCGAACGGGUGAGUAAUGCAUCGGAACGUGUCCCGUAGUGGGGGAUAACGCCGCGAAAGCGGCGCUAAUACCGCAUAUGCUCUACGGAGGAAAGUGGGGGACCUGAAAGGGCCUCACGCUAUGGGAGCGGCCGAUGUCCGAUUAGCUUGUUGGUGGGGUAAUGGCCUACCAAGGCGACGAUCGGUAACUGGUCUGAGAGGAUGAUCAGCCACACUGGGACUGAGACACGGCCCAGACUCCUACGGGAGGCAGCAGUGGGGAAUUUUGGACAAUGGGGGCAACCCUGAUCCAGCCAUGCCGCGUGCGGGAAGAAGGCCUUCGGGUUGUAAACCGCUUUUAGUCGGGAAGAAAAGGCACGCUCUAAUACGGCGUGUUCUUGACGGUACCGGCGGAAUAAGCACCGGCUAACUACGUGCCAGCAGCCGCGGUAAUACGUAGGGUGCGAGCGUUAAUCGGAAUUACUGGGCGUAAAGCGUGCGCAGGCGGUUCGUUGUGUCUGUCGUGAAAGCCCCGGGCUCAACCUGGGAAUGGCGAUGGAAACUGGCGAGCUGGAGUGUGGCAGAGGGGGGUGGAAUUCCGCGUGUAGCAGUGAAAUGCGUAGAGAUGCGGAGGA